rnacentral:pre_miRNA from 1 species
CCUCUGCGUACAUGGUGGCUGUUUCGUUGGGUUUUUGUGCGCGAGCCUCAAUCAGUUGCUGUGCGCGAUCCCGUCGGUCCGUGUUCAAAAAUGUGGCGAGG